rnacentral:lncRNA from 1 species
AAAGAAGCCGCUUUAGGACUUCUCUUUUCAUCGUUCGAAGGAACACAGAGUGAAUGUGUGUCUUGACAUACAUUUUGAAAACCACUGCCAUCAGUAACAGUGUCUGUAAAACCCGAAUUGCAUAUUUUCCCCGACACAUCAUAUUCCGAUGAAUUCAGUCUCACAUUGGCCGAGCACAACCCAUAUGCAGAUACAGAAAACAAAGUAAACAACAGAACCACAAAACAGUUGAAUGUUUUCUACCGGUGGUGGAGGAGGGAGAAAGAGAAGAAAGAGAGCAUGGAGGCGAGUGGGUUGGAGAGAGUGAAGAAGGUUAGGAUUCGGAGCUCCAUAGGG